rnacentral:rRNA from 1 species
GUGAGGAAUAUUGCGCAAUGGAGGCAACUCUGACGCAGUCAUGCCGCGUGCAGGAAGAAGGCGCUACGCGUUGUAAACUGCUUUUAACCGGGAAGAAACCCCAGGACGUGUCCUGGGUUGACGGUACCGGAGGAAUAAGCACCGGCUAACUUCGUGCCAGCAGCCGCGGUAAUACGAAGGGUGCAAGCGUUAUCCGGAUUCAUUGGGUUUAAAGGGUGCGUAGGCGGAGCGUUAAGUCAGUGGUGAAAUCCUGCAGCUUAACUGUAGACUUGCCAUUGAUACUGGCGCUCUUGAGUGCGCUUGAAGUGGGCGGAAUGUGCCGUGUAGCGGUGAAAUGCUUAGAUAUGGCACAGAACACCAAUUGCGAAGGCAGCUCACUAAGGCGAUACUGACGCUGAGGCACGAAAGCGUGGGGAUCGAACAGGAUUAGAAACCCUGGUAGUCC